rnacentral:rRNA from 1 species
UACGUAGGGCGCAAGCGUUGUCCGGAAUUAUUGGGCGUAAAGAGCUCGUAGGCGGUCUGUCGCGUCGGAUGUGAAAGCCCGGGGCUUAACCCCGGGUCUGCAUUCGAUACGGGCAGACUAGAGUGUGGUAGGGGAGAUCGGAAUUCCUGGUGUAGCGGUGAAAUGCGCAGAUAUCAGGAAGAACACCCGUGGCGAAAGCGGCUCUCUGGAACGGUACUGACGCUGAGACGCGAAAGCGUGGGGAGCGAACAGG